GGAAGGUUGGCAGAGUGGUCGAAUGCACCGGUCUUGAAAACCGGCAGGGGCGCGAGUUCCUCCAGGGUUCGAAUCCCUGACCUUCCGCCA
rnacentral:tRNA from 1 species